rfam:Candidatus Azambacteria bacterium RIFCSPLOWO2_01_FTLL_46_25 rifcsplowo2_01_scaffold_6232, whole genome shotgun sequence.
UUUAUUGAGAGUUUGAUCCUGGCUCAGGAUGAACGCUGGCGGUGUGGAUAAGGCAUGCAAGUCGAGCGAUUUUUAUAUGCUUCGCAAGAAAUGUAUAAGAGUAGCGGCAAACGAGCUAGUAACACAUUGGUACGUACCUCAAAGAGGGGCAUAGCUUCGAGAAAUCGGAGGUAAUUCCCCAUAAUUCCUGCGAGCAAUCGCAAGGGUAAAGACGCAAGUCGCUUUGAGAGCGGCCUAUGGCCUAUCAGCUAGUUGGUGAGGUAAUGGCUCACCAAGGCUAUGACGGGUAGGGGGCGUGAGAGCGCGACCCCCAGCGAUGGGACUGAGACACGGCCCAUACUCCUACGGGAGGCUGCAGUCGAGAAUCUUCCACAAUGGACGAAAGUCUGAUGGAGCGACACCGCGUGUGGGAUGAAGGCCUUCGGGUCGUAAACCACUUUUUUAUGGGAAGAAGCGCAAGCUGACGGUACCAUAAGAAUAAGAGGUUGCUAACUCUGUGCCAGCAGCAGCGGUAAUACAGAGACCUCAAGCGUUAUCCGGAUUUAUUGGGCGUAAAGCGUCUGCAGGCGGCCUGAAUUUCUCCCGCAAGGGAGAAUCUCAAGUCUGAUGUUAAAUCUUCCAGCUCAACUGGAAAACCGCAUCGGAUACUGACAGGCUAGAGAGGAGGAGAGGUGCAUAGAACUUAUGGUGUAGGGGUGAAAUCCGUUGAUAUCAUAAGGAAUACCAAAGGCGAAGGCAUUGCACUGGCCUCACUCUGACGCUCAGAGACGAAAGCGUGGGGAGCAAAAAGGAUUAGAUACCCUUGUAGUCCACGCCCUAAACGAUGAGUGCUAGAUAUAUGAAGUAUCGACCCUUCAUGUGUCGAAGCUAACGCGUUAAGCACUCCGCCUGGGAAGUACGAUCGCAAGAUUAAAACUCAAAGGAAUAGACGGGGACUCGCACAAGCAGUG